rnacentral:lncRNA from 1 species
CAAUUAUCUGCUUGAGGCUGUUGGCUCAAAUGUGUAGUUUGUUAAACAACACUCUACAAGGAGUUAGAAAAACAAAAUUGCAUUAGAGACUCGGUGUGUCUUUUACAGAAAAGCUCAAAUGUGGUUUGAUCCAAUCUGCAAUGCUGCAGACUGGGAGAUGGCCUGUGAAGUUUUGUACUGACAGACCUAGAUAAAAUUUUAGAAGAGAAAAAUCUGAGCAACUGCAGCUGUCUGGCAUUCCCCAUUAUCCAGUUUCCAUGGAUACAAGCAUUAGAAAUUUUGAAGUCAGAAAGACUAAGAAAAGGAGAAAAAUCGUAAUACUUACAGGAAAAUUGGUUUCAAGUUACAUAGAUUAUCUUGCAACCACAAAAAGAAAACCAAAAAAAAAAAAAAAAAAUCCACAAAAGAACAAAGCUAGCCUUCUGUCUGGGAAAAACAAACACACCAAUGAAGCAAAACCACAACAGAGAAAGCAAAUGGGCUUUUUGGACAGCUGUAUAUGGUACGUCUUGGCCCAUUUCUGGUGACCCCAGAAUACAAUACUCUAAGACAAAUUCUGAAUAAAACUAGAUCAUUUUAUUAAACAAACAAUAUUGGAUAGGAAAACAAAAACAAGAUUCAAACCAAUCAAAUGAAACACAAAGUAAGACAGUGUGCUGCCAAUGCAUAAGGAAGAAAUCUUUAUAAUUCAUAUGCCUACAUGACUCAUUGGAAAUACUUACCACAGUGAAGUAAAUAAUAGGAGUAAGCAAAAAAUGGCUGCAAGCAGGUAACUUCUGAAGACAAAGGAGAAUGAAAAUCUGAAAGAGGAGGCGUACUCUUGAAGGUAAACUUCAUUACAAGCUUUGUUAACUGUUAUUUGUUUUUUGCGUACAAGGAAGUUUCAUUUGAAACCGCUCAUUAUUCUUUCAGUACCAUUGCAUAACCAGACCUAACGCCUUCUUUUUGUGAUAAGAAAAACAAUGUAAUUCAGCUUUCUCAAAAUGUGGGAAAACAUGACUAAAUGCAAGGAAGGAAGGUUUGGGUUUUUCUACUCAGACACUCUUCUCGGAGAUUAAAAAAUGCUGCAAAGUUAUCCAAGAGAGAUAUCUUUGCUAAUUUACUCUGAAAUUCAUUUCAAACUACAAUAGAUUUUUCAUUAUAGAUAUACCAAUUACUAAUUGCACUGAGAAGAGCUGAUGAGCUCGUAAGAUGCUUCAUGACAGGAGAGUUGCUAACUCCAAAGUGACUUACAAUUUGUAAUUCAGAAAUUCAAAGCCCACGUCCAGUAGCCAGCCAAACCCACGGCUCUUAUAAACUCUCCAAAUAAAUGAUUGGUCUUAGAAUCUUACACCAAUUUCCUUCAUACUACAUAAAUGGAGUACUUAUACUGUAGUGGCUUCAGAUU